UACGUAGGGUGCGAGCGUUACUCGGAAUUACUGGGCGUAAAGUGUGCGCAGGCGGUUGAGCAAGUCGAGUGUGAAAGCCCCGGGCUUAACUUGGGAAUUGCGCUCGAAACUACUUGACUGGAGUGUGGCAGAGGAAGGUGGAAUUCCACGUGUAGCGGUGAAAUGCGUAGAGAUGUGGAGGAACACCAAUGGCGAAGGCAGCCUUCUGGGCCAACACUGACGCUCAUGCACGAAAGCGUGGGGAGCAAACAGG
rnacentral:rRNA from 1 species